rnacentral:rRNA from 1 species
GAUGAACGCUGGCGGCGUGCCUAAUACAUGCAAGUCGAACGAACAGACGAGGCGCUUGCUCCUCGGACGUUAGCGGCGCACGGGUGAGUCACACGUGUAUAACCUACCUAUCAGACUGGGAUAACUUCGGAAAACCGGAUCUAAUACGGUAUAAUAUAUUGCACCGUGGGGUUGGAUGGUAAAAUACGGUUGUGCGGGCACUAAUAGCGGCUUCUCCGCCGGAUUGGCUGGUUGUGACGGUAAUGGCUUACCACGGCAAGCAGGCGUAGCCGACCUGAGAGGGUGAUCGGCGACACUGGAGCGGAGACAGGGACAAGGCUCCUACGGGAGGCAGCAGUAGGGAAUCUUACGCAAUGGGCGAAAGCCUGACGCAGCGACGGGGCGCGAGUGAUGAAGGUCUCCGGAGCGUAAAACUCUGUUAUUAGGGAAGAACAAAUUUGUACGUAACUAUGCACGUCUUGACGGUACCUAAUCAGAAAGCACCGGCUAACUACGUG